rnacentral:tRNA from 1 species
GUGUGAGUGCUACGCUAGGGUGACCGGGAAACCCUGCUUCCCAAGCAGAGGGUCGCGGGUUCGAGUCCCGUUUCCCGCUCCA